GAACGUACGCUGGCGGCACGCCUAACACAUGCAAGUCGAACGAAGUAGCAAUACUUAGUGGCAGACGGGUGAGUAACAUGUAGGUAUCUGCCCUUUGGCCUGGAAUAACACGAGGAAACUUGUGCUAAUACCGGAUAAGUCUUUACGGAGAAAGCUUUAUGCACCAUUGGAUGAGCCUGCACUUGAUUAGUUUGUUGGUGGGGUAAUGGCCUACCAAGACUGUGAUCAAUAGCUGAUUUGAGAGGAUGAUCAGCCACAUUGGGACUGAGACACGGCCCAAACUCCUACGGGAGGCAGCAGUGGGGAAUCUUGCACAAUGGAGGAAACUCUGAUGCAGCGAUGCCGCGUGAGUGAAGAAGGCCCUUGGGUUGUAAAGCUCUUUCGUCGGGGAAGAAAAUGACUGUACCCGAAUAAGAAGGUCCGGCUAACUUCGUGCCAGCAGCCGCGGUAAUACGAAGGGACCUAGCGUAGUUCGGAAUUACUGGGCUUAAAGAGUUCGUAGGUGGUUGAAAAAGUUAGUGGUGAAAUCCCAGAGCUUAACUCUGGAACUGCCAUUAAAACUUUUCAGCUAGAGUAUGAUAGAGGAAAGCAGAAUUUCUAGUGUAGAGGUGAAAUUCGUAGAUAUUAGAAAGAAUACCAAUUGCGAAGGCAGCUUUCUGGAUCAUUACUGACACUGAGGAACGAAAGCAUGGGUAGCGAAGAGGAUUAGAUACCCUCGUAGUCCAUGCCGUAAACGAUGUGUGUUAGACGUUGGAAAUUUAUUUUCAGUGUCGCAGGGAAACCGAUAAACACACCGCCUGGGGAGUACGACCGCAAGGUUAAAACCCAAAUGAAUUGACGGGGACCCGCACAAGUAGUGGAGCAUGUGGUUUAAUUCGAAGAUACGCGCAGAACCUUACCAACACUUGACAUGUUCGUCGCGACUCUAAGAGAUUAGAGUUUUCGGUUCGGCCGGACGAAACACAGGUGCUGCAUGGCUGUCGUCAGCUCGUGUCGUGAGAUGUUGGGUUAAGUCCCGCAACGAGCGCAACCCUCACUUUUAGUUGCCAUCAUUAAGUUGGGCACUCUGAAAGAACUGCCAGUGAUAAGCUGGAGGAAGGUGGGGAUGACGUCAAGUCCUCAUGGCCCUUACGUGUUGGGCUACACACGUGCUACAAUGGUAUCUACAACAGGAAGCAAGACUGCGAAGUUAAGCAAAUCCCUAAAAGAUACCUCAGUUCGGAUUGCACUCUGCAACUCGAGUGCAUGAAGCUGGAAUUACUAGUAAUCGUGGAUCAGCGUGCCACGGUGAAUGCGUUCCCGGGUCUUGUACACACCGCCC
rnacentral:rRNA from 1 species